rfam:Schistosoma mansoni strain Puerto Rico chromosome 3, complete genome
GCACUGCUGAAGAGUUCCACAAUAGGACGAAACGGCUGUGCAGUGC